UGAUCCUGGCUCAGAUUGAACGCUGGCGGUAGGCUUAACACAUGCAAGUCGUGCGAGAAAGUAUCUUCGGAUAUGAGUAGAGCGGCGGACGGGUGGGUAACGCGUAGGAAUCUACCUAGUAGAAGGGGAUAGCCCGGGGAAACCCGGAUUAAUACCGUAUACCUCCUUCGGGAGAAAGAAGGCCUCUCUUUGAAGCUUUCGCUACUAGAUGAGCCUGCGUAAGAUUAGCUUGUUGGUGAGGUAAAGGCUCACCAAGGCGACGAUCUUUAGCUGGUCUGAGAGGACGAUCAGCCACAUUGGGACUGAGACACGGCCCAGACUCCUACGGGAGGCAGCAGUGGGGAAUAUUGGACAAUGGGCGCAAGCCUGAUCCAGCCAUACCGCGUGUGUGAAGAAGGCCUUCGGGUUGUAAAGCACUUUAAGCAGGGAGAAAAAGUUAUAAGUUAAUACCUUAUAACCCUGAUGUUACCUGCAGAAUAAGCACCGGCUAAUUCCGUGCCAGCAGCCGCGGUAAUACGGAAGGUGCAAGCGUUAAUCGGAAUUACUGGGCGUAAAGCGCGCGUAGGUGGUUUGUUAAGUUGGAUGUGAAAGCCCUGGGCUUAACCUAGGAACUGCAUCCAAAACUAACUCACUAGAGUACGAUAGAGGGAGGUAGAAUUCAUAGUGUAGCGGUGGAAUGCGUAGAUAUUAUGAAGAAUACCAGUGGCGAAGGCGGCCUCCUGGAUCUGUACUGACACUGAGGUGCGAAAGCGUGGGUAGCGAACAGGAUUAGAUACCCUGGUAGU
rnacentral:rRNA from 1 species